rnacentral:snRNA from 1 species
AUCAUGAUCAUACACUGUGCUGACCUUCUCCUAGUAUCUGUUCUUUUCAGUUUAAUCGCUGAAACUCGACUACGGUCGAUUUACGAUUAUCCUUAUUUUUCGCACUCGCGAGGUGCUCCCUGAGCUUGCUCAUAGUAUCCACGCACCGUGUCCUUGGCCUUACACUACCGCCUUGUGACGCAAACCCUU